UGGGGAAUUUUGGACAAUGGGGGCAACCCUGAUCCAGCAAUGCCGCGUGUGUGAAGAAGGCCUUCGGGUUGUAAAGCACUUUUGUCCGGAAAGAAAUCCCUUGGGAUAAUACCUCGGGGGGAUGACGGUACCGGAAGAAUAAGCACCGGCUAACUACGUGCCAGCAGCCGCGGUAAUACGUAGGGUGCGAGCGUUAAUCGGAAUUACUGGGCGUAAAGCGUGCGCAGGCGGUUCGCUAAGACCGAUGUGAAAUCCCCGGGCUUAACCUGGGAACUGCAUUGGUGACUGGCGAGCUAGAGUGUGGCAGAGGGGGGUAGAAUUCCACGUGUAGCAGUGAAAUGCGUAGAGAUGUGGAGGAAUACCGAUGGCGAAGGCAGCCCCCUGGGCUAACACUGACGCUCAUGCACGAAAGCGUGGGGAGCAAACA
rnacentral:rRNA from 1 species